rnacentral:lncRNA from 1 species
CCCUGGAUGAGUGGAGGAUCACCUCAGCCUGUCAUCUGGCCACUUCAGAGAGGCAGAGAGAAACUCCCUAAAGAUGCCUUGGAGGGACUUUCAUGGCCUGACUUCCGGUUGAGAAUGACUUCCCCGGUGACCUUGAUGCCUCACACCAAGUUCCCUGGCCCCGCCUACCAAGAAGCGCUCAGCUCAGCAGCAGUGAUUGGAGAGCCUCCCUGAGGAGCUUCCUGGCACCUCUCCCUCACAGGCUGUCCCCACGUCCUGGACCUGAGAGGCCAUCUACUCUGAGCAUGCCCCUCAGCAAGGUCACCAGCAGGUAGGGGCCUUCUCCAAGGUCCUUCCGGGCACCGUAAGGCCUUUGAUGGACCGGCACUGUCUAAAGUCUUAGGGCCUCACUUCCUCCUCAACCCUUCCUUUCUCGAUGCUCAGCACACAUCCGUUCGGUCUUUCUUUCCUGACCUCACAAAACAAAUCUCAAAGGCUGAGAAGAUCAGUCUGCACACAGAAACCUUAGACAAACACAGAACACCCCCACCAAGCAUGCACCUGCCUCUCAGAACCACCCAGAGUGGACACUUCACAGCGGCUAAGUUGUGCCACCCCAUCCCGAUGGCCCUGAAUCACUCCCACCAUGCAGUUCUGUUCCUCAGAGAGAAGUCUGAGAGGUAGGUGUGUGUCCCCGGCAUUCUUGUCAUUGCCCAUCCAGGGUUGGCUGCAGAAGAUGAGCACGGGCCCAGGGUGGCUCACGUUACAUGGGUCAUGGGAGUACAGGCUGCCUGUGGUCCUUCCCCUUCCAGCUCCCAAUAAUGGAAAGUGAGGACAAACUGAGAAUCAGGCAGGAGUCAGGUGCCAUUGUGAGAAAACUGUCUGUCCAGGAGAAGGAGGGUACAUACCACGAUGCACCUAAUUAGUCUCCACAGGUGUCCUAGGAGGUUUCAGAGUAGCAGACUAGAUCAUCUUCCUGCUUCUGCGCUCCGCCGCUUCCCCCCGCCCCCCCGCCCCCGCAUUGCAAAGGAAGCCGCCUUCAUAGGCAUUCCACCGGAACCAACAACUCUCCUCAUGUGGUCCAUGCCCUUGAAGUAGUGACUUGAAAUAGGAACACACUCUUCAUCUCAAAGUCAGGCCUCAGCUUCUGCCGUGAGAUACCUGACACGAUGAGCAAUGUCUGAAGAGAUGUAUUUCCACAAAAGGGAAACCAAUACAGAACAACUCAGGAACA